rnacentral:rRNA from 1 species
AUGAACGCUGGCGGCGUGCCUAAUACAUGCAAGUCGAGCGAACAGACGAGAGUGCUUGCACUCUCUGACGUUAGCGGCGGACGGGUGAGUAACACGUGGGUAACCUACCUAUAAGACUGGGAUAACUUCGGGAAACCGGAGCUAAUACCGGAUAAUAUUUAGCUUCGCAUGAAGCAAUAGUGAAAGACGGUUCUGCUGUCACUUAUAGAUGGACCCGCGGUGUAUUAGCUAGUUGGUGAGGUAACGGCUCACCAAGGCAACGAUACAUAGCCGACCUGAGAGGGUGAUCGGCCACACGGGGACUGAGACACGGCCCAGACUCCUACGGGAGGCAGCAGUAGGGAAUCUUCCGCAAUGGACGAAAGUCUGACGGAGCAAUGCCGCGUGAGUGAAGAAGGUUUUCGGAUCGUAAAACUCUGUUGUAAGGGAAGAACAAGUACGUUAGUAACUGAACGUACCUUGACGGUACCUUACCAGAAAGCCACGGCUAACUACGUG